rnacentral:rRNA from 1 species
UACGAAGGGGGCUAGCGUUGCUCGGAAUCACUGGGCGUAAAGCGCACGUAGGCGGCUUUCUAAGUCAGGGGUGAAAUCCUGGAGCUCAACUCCAGAACUGCCUUUGAUACUGGAGAGCUUGAGUCCGGGAGAGGUGAGUGGAACUCCGAGUGUAGAGGUGAAAUUCGUAGAUAUUCGGAAGAACACCAGUGGCGAAGGCGGCUCACUGGCCCGGUACUGACGCUGAGGUGCGAAAGCGUGGGGAGCAAACGGG